UUUCUUCUGAUUAGUUUUCCUAUUCAUCAGCACAUGUGACCAUGGAUCUUGUAAAGCAGAGUCUACAUCCUGGGAUGGUAUGGUUUCUAAGACUUGAAAGUGCCCUCUUGAUUACCUCCUCCAAGCAAUAAACAUGCACGAUGAAAGCAUAUUGAUGACACACCCAUCCCACCCUCCACUAUUGGCAUGUGGUUCCCGGAAGUUGCCCAGAAGAGAAUGUGUUCCUCGGACUGCUGGUACCUCUCUGAGAAAUGGACAGGUUAUGGUGCAGAUAUGCCCAAAGAGUAUACCUUUAUGAACAUCUUUAUUUUUGUGCUUCAUGUUUUCCACAUCACUCCAAAUGGUUCUAAAACGUUUAUUGCACAGGGUCUUCAUCAGAAUGUGCAAAUGAAUCUGAAAAUUCCAUCGGGUAUAGUUAUUUUAUGUCUGACUAUAUCACCUGUCUGUCAGCUUAAUAUCUCUUCAAGUCCAUCUUUCAAGUUUUCUUGUCCCAAACUCAAUACCCUUUUGAUCUCUUGUUUCCCUUGUGAGCUAAUGAUUAAAUUACACCAUGUCCAGACUAUUACCAGAACAAAAUACAUAAAUCGUAUGACAAUCUUU